rnacentral:rRNA from 1 species
AUGGUCGGGUCGGGGUCGAAGCAUGCCGCGGGCGGGAGCGGCGGCGCAGGCGGAGGGGAGAGGCGCAAGUACCCGAUCCGCGCCGAGGACUACGAGCUGUACGAGGAGAUCGGCCAGGGUGUUAGCGCCAUCGUCUACCGCGCGCUCUGCAGGCCGCUCGGCGAGACCGUCGCCGUCAAGGUGCUCGACUUCGAGCGCACCAACAGCAACCUGAACAAUAUCAUGCGUGAAGCCCAGACAAUGAUUCUUAUAGACCAUCCUAAUGUUGUUAAGGCGAUCUGUUCAUUUGCAAAUAACCAAACGUUAUGGGUAGUUAUGCCGUACAUGGCUGGAGGAUCUUGUCUUCACAUAAUGAAAUCAGUCUAUCCGGAUGGUUUCGAGGAAGCUGUCAUUGCAACACUGCUCCGUGAAGUUCUAAGAGGAUUGGAAUAUCUUCAUCAUCAUGGGCAUAUACAUCGUGAUGUCAAGGCAGGAAAUAUCCUAGUUGAUUCUCGUGGUGGAGUUAAGCUUGGAGAUUUUGGGGUUUCUGCUUGCCUUUUUGAAUCUGGUGACAGACAGCGGGCUAGAAACACUUUCGUGGGAACUCCUUGCUGGAUGGCACCAGAGGUAAUGGAGCAACUACAUGGAUAUGAUUUCAAGGCAGACAUAUGGUCCUUUGGAAUUACUGCACUUGAACUUGCCCAUGGUCAUGCUCCUUUCUCAAAGUACCCUCCCAUGAAGGUCUUGCUUAUGACACUUCAAAAUGCUCCCCCUGGUCUUGAUUAUGAAAGAGAUAAGAAAUUCUCAAGGCAUUUCAAGCAAAUGGUAGCUAUGUGUUUGGUAAAAGAGCCUUCAAAAAGGCCGACUGCAACAAAAUUGCUCAAGCAAUCCUUUUUCAAGCAAGCUCGUUCCCAUGAUUACAUUGUUCGAAAGCUUUUGGAGGGAUUGCCUGGCCUUGGCGCCAGAUAUCAAGCUUUGAAGGAAAAGGAUGAACAUUUACUUGCUCAAAAGAAAAUGCCUGAUGGUAGAAAGGAAGAAAUCUCGCAGGAUGAAUACAAAAGGGGUAUCAGCAGCUGGAACUUUGACAUUGAUGACCUGAAGUCUCAAGCCUCACUGAUUUCAGAGUGUGAGGACACAAUAUCAUCUAAAGAUACAGAUAUAUCGUCUAUCUAUGACUUCGACACCAGCUUGCAGGAGCAAGCACACGAAGGAUCUCUUUUUUCAAUGAAGUAUGAUACUGACAUCGAAAAUGAUGUCAUGGCCAAUGAUAAGUCAGCUGUUUCAUCACCCGAGCAGUCUGUUUGUCUAUCAAGGGCAUCUCUAUGUGGAACUUCUAACGGAGUACUGGUAAAUGGCCAUGUCAGGAAACACAGCUCUAUGGAAAGCUGUGAUUUGGACUUGCAAGAGAAAGAUUUGGAUGCUAUUCCAACAAGCUCAUUUCAGGAAAGGAAGUGUUCUUUCAGUUCUUGCUCAUCAGAUGGUUUUCUUUCUUCCAAAGAGAGCUCUAAGCCACAAAUCAACAUUCAUAACCGUGAGAAGGGUAGUGGAGGGGUCUUGCAAGUAGCAGAUGAGCCAUCUCCUGAAGCUAUUUCUAGGGCACCUAAAUCAUUGGUAUCAAAUGUUGACGAACAUGAUGAUAGAUCAAAACCUCCACUUAUACAGCAAAGAGGCCGUUUUAAAGUUACACCUGGGAAUGUCGAGUUGGAUAAGGCUCACUCACCUGGCCUACAAAAGUCUCACAGCAUGCAGACAAUUUCUCAACUUUCUGCAUUAAGCAUACCAUCUUCAGCUGAGGCUGCUUCAAGCAUUAUUGGUGGCUCCUUGUACAUCCAGUUAUACAAUGUUUUGCAGACCAAUCUGCUUCAGAGGGAACAGAUACUUCAUGCGAUGAAGCAGUUAUACAUUUCUGAUUCUAUUUCACCUGUUCGGAUGCAUUCGUUAAGUCGUUCCCCAUCUCCAUCAUCAGCUUUAUCGGUAGAUAGAUCCAUGUUGGAAGCAGCACAAGAGAAGGAGAAGGAACUGGUCAAUGAAGUCCUGGAGCUACAAUGGCGGUUAUUGUGUGCACAGGAUGAGGUGCAGAGGCUCAAAGCAAAGGCAGCCCAGAUUUGA